UGGGGAAUUUUGGACAAUGGGCGAAAGCCUGAUCCAGCAAUGCCGCGUGUGUGAAGAAGGCCUUCGGGUUGUAAAGCACUUUUGUCCGGAAAGAAAUCCUUGGCUCUAAUACAGUCGGGGGAUGACGGUACCGGAAGAAUAAGCACCGGCUAACUACGUGCCAGCAGCCGCGGUAAUACGUAGGGUGCAAGCGUUAAUCGGAAUUACUGGGCGUAAAGCGUGCGCAGGCGGUUUACUAAGACCGAUGUGAAAUCCCCGGGCUCAACCUGGGAACUGCAUUGGUGACUGGGCAGGCUAGAGUAUGGCAGAGGGGGGUAGAAUUCCACGUGUAGCAGUGAAAUGCGUAGAGAUGUGGAGGAAUACCGAUGGCGAAGGCAGCCCCCUGGGCCAAUACUGACGCUCAUGCACGAAAGCGUGGGGAGCAAAACAGGAUUAGAUACCCUGGUAGUCCACGCCCUAAAACGAUGUCAACUAGUUGUUGGGGAUUCAUUUCCUUAGUAACGUAGCUAACGCGUGAAGUUGACCGCCUGGGGAGUACGGUCGCAAGAAUAAACUCAAAUGAAUUGACGGGGUCAUAGCUG
rnacentral:rRNA from 1 species